GUCUCUGUUGGGCAUUGAUGCUACUAUUCACGACCCUGUUGGGCUCUAGAACGCGUCUCCGAAGUCAUGAAAUCGAAUGGCGAUUUGGCACAGUGUGUUUGCCUGUUUGGUCUCGACUCUCGAAUGGCCGCCCAUGCGUGCGUUACGUGUCCAUCGAGAAUACGUACGCGUCGAUCGUACGUGUGUGCGAUCACUCUUGAGUAUACACUGUCCGGCCGCCGUGUGAUGAGAUCAUAGAGCUAGAUGGGUGCUUGGAGAUCGAGAGAUCGACAGAGAC
rnacentral:lncRNA from 1 species